ACUCAAAUGAAUAGACGGGGGCCCGCACAAGCAGCGGAGCGUGUGGUUUAAUUCGACGCAACACGAAGAACCUUACCUAGGCUUGACAUGGUACUGCAAGCCGGCGAAAGCCGGUCGCCUUCGAGGGUGUACCACUGGUGCUGCAUGGCUGUCGUCAGCUCGUGUCGUGAGAUGUUGGGUUAAGUCCCGCAACGAGCGCAACCCUUGCCCGAUGUUGCACGUAUCAUCGGGGACUGCCGCUGGUCACCAGCGGAGGAAGGCGGGGAUGACGUCAAGUCCGCAUGGCCCCGACGUCUAGGGCUACACACACGCUACAAUGGCCGGAGGAGUGCGUUGCGACCUGGUAACGGGGAGCUAAUCGCCAAGGUCGGUCGUAGUGCAGAUUGGGGGCUGCAACUCGCCCCCAUGAAGGCGGAGUUGCUAGUAACCGCGUGGCAGCAUAGCGCGGUGAAUACGUACCCGGGCCUUGUACACACCGCCCGU
rnacentral:rRNA from 1 species